UGGGUGAGAGAUGAGUAUUCUGAGAUGUAUGAAUCAAAGAUUUUGAUUAAGCUCUGUAACUUUGAGAUUCAU
rnacentral:snoRNA from 1 species